AAGGGGGGACGGAGAAGGCUAUGUUGGCCGGGCGACGGUUGUCCCGGUUUAAGCGUGUAGGCUGGUUUUCCAGGCAAAUCCGGAAAAUCAAGGCUGAGGCGUGAUGACGAGGCACUACGGUGCUGAAGCAACAAAUGCCCUGCUUCCAGGAAAAGCCUCUAAGCAUCAGGUAACAUCAAAUCGUACCCCAAACCGACACAGGUGGUCAGGUAGAGAAUACCAAGGCGCUUGAGAGAACUCGGGUGAAGGAACUAGGCAAAAUGGUGCCGUAACUUCGGGAGAAGGCACGCUGAUAUGUAGGUGAAGUGAUUUACUCAUGGAGCUGAAAUCAGUCGAAGAUACCAGCUGGCUGCAACUGUUUAUUAAAAACACAGCACUGUGCAAACACGAAAGUGGACGUAUACGGUGUGACGCCUGCCCGGUGCCGGAAGGUUAAUUGAUGGGGUUAGCGCAAGCGAAGCUCUUGAUCGAAGCCCCGGUAAACGGCGGCCGUAACUAUAACGGUCCUAAGGUAGCGAAAUUCCUUGUCGGGUAAGUUCCGACCUGCACGAAUGGCGUAAUGAUGGCCAGGCUGUCUCCACCCGAGACUCAGUGAAAUUGAACUCGCUGUGAAGAUGCAGUGUACCCGCGGCAAGACGGAAAGACCCCGUGAACCUUUACUAUAGCUUGACACUGAACAUUGAGCCUUGAUGUGUAGGAUAGGUGGGAGGCUUUGAAGUGUGGACGCCAGUCUGCAUGGAGCCGACCUUGAAAUACCACCCUUUAAUGUUUGAUGUUCUAACGUUGACCCGUAAUCCGGGUUGCGGACAGUGUCUGGUGGGUAGUUUGACUGGGGCGGUCUCCUCCUAAAGAGUAACGGAGGAGCACGAAGGUUGGCUAAUCCUGGUCGGACAUCAGGAGGUUAGUGCAAUGGCAUAAGCCAGCUUGACUGCGAGCGUGACGGCGCGAGCAGGUGCGAAAGCAGGUCAUAGUGAUCCGGUGGUUCUGAAUGGAAGGGCCAUCGCUCAACGGAUAAAAGGUACUCCGGGGAUAACAGGCUGAUACCGCCCAAGAGUUCAUAUCGACGGCGGUGUUUGGCACCUCGAUGUCGGCUCAUCACAUCCUGGGGCUGAAGUAGGUCCCAAGGGUAUGGCUGUUCGCCAUUUAAAGUGGUACGCGAGCUGGGUUUAGAACGUCGUGAGACAGUUCGGUCCCUAUCUGCCGUGGGCGCUGGAGAACUGAGGGGGGCUGCUCCUAGUACGAGAGGACCGGAGUGGACGCAUCACUGGUGUUCGGGUUGUCAUGCCAAUGGCACUGCCCGGUAGCUAAAUGCGGAAGAGAUAAGUGCUGAAAGCAUCUAAGCACGAAACUUGCCCCGAGAUGAGUUCUCCCUGACUCCUUGAGAGUCCUGAAGGAACGUUGAAGACGACGACGUUGAUAGGCCGGGUGUGUAAGCGCAGCGAUGCGUUGAGCUAACCGGUACUAAUGAACCGUGAGGCUUAACCUUACAACGCCGAAGCUGUU
rnacentral:rRNA from 1 species